rnacentral:lncRNA from 1 species
GGAAGAAGGAGACGGGCCACCCUACAGUCCAGGCACUAGCUGAGCCUCCAAAGCCGUGGACACAGCAUUCGAGUGUUGGGAGGGACUGGUCAGUGCUGAAGUCUCACAGGUGAGUGCCCACGCCUGCUGUCACCAUGACAACCAUUCACAGCCGGCAGAUGCUGCAGGAGCACGUGUCCAUGGAGUUCUCCAGCUCCACCACCCACGUGCAGACCUUCUCCCAGACAACCAAGAUCGUGGGAGAGGAGGUCGUGAGGAGGAAGUCCUCGAGCAUAGUGGAGUUCUUCAGCUUAGUGACCCGGAGCUCAAACAUCCCUGCGGGCGACAGCGUCCCUGAGUUCGUGGAGAAGCCUCAACCGGUCACCGCGCCCGAGGGUGUGUUGCUGCCUGUGGCUCACCGGGCUCCAGUGCUUCGCUUUCUAAUCGAGUGCCCCCACCCUCCGUCCUACCCCAACGACCUCCAAUGCUAAACCCUGGCAGAGC